rnacentral:rRNA from 1 species
GGUUAAGCGACUAAGCGUACACGGUGGAUGCCCUGGCAGUCAGAGGCGAUGAAGGACGUGCUAAUCUGCGAUAAGCGUCGGUGAGGUGAUAUGAACCGUUAUAACCGGCGAUUUCCGAAUGGGGAAACCCAGUGUGUUUCGACACACUAUCAUUAACUGAAUCCAUAGGUUAAUGAGGCGAACCGGGGGAACUGAAACAUCUAAGUACCCCGAGGAAAAGAAAUCAACCGAGAUUCCCCCAGUAGCGGCGAGCGAACGGGGAGGAGCCCAGAGCCUGAAUCAGUGUGUGUGUUAGUGGAAGCGUCUGGAAAGGCGUGCGAUACAGGGUGACAGCCCCGUACACAAAAAUGCACAUAUUGUGAGCUCGAUGAGUAGGGCGGGACACGUGGUAUCCUGUCUGAAUAUGGGGGGACCAUCCUCCAAGGCUAAAUACUCCUGACUGACCGAUAGUGAACCAGUACCGUGAGGGAAAGGCGAAAAGAACCCCGGCGAGGGGAGUGAAAAAGAACCUGAAACCGUGUACGUACAAGCAGUGGGAGCCUCUUAAUGGGGUGACUGCGUACCUUUUGUAUAAUGGGUCAGCGACUUAUAUUCUGUAGCAAGGUUAACCGAAUAGGGGAGCCGAAGGGAAACCGAGUCUUAACUGGGCGUUAAGUUGCAGGGUAUAGACCCGAAACCCGGUGAUCUAGCCAUGGGCAGGUUGAAGGUUGGGUAACACUAACUGGAGGACCGAACCGACUAAUGUUGAAAAAUUAGCGGAUGACUUGUGGCUGGGGGUGAAAGGCCAAUCAAACCGGGAGAUAGCUGGUUCUCCCCGAAAGCUAUUUAGGUAGCGCCUCGUGAAUUCAUCUCCGGGGGUAGAGCACUGUUUCGGCAAGGGGGUCAUCCCGACUUACCAACCCGAUGCAAACUGCGAAUACCGGAGAAUGUUAUCACGGGAGACACACGGCGGGUGCUAACGUCCGUCGUGAAGAGGGAAACAACCCAGACCGCCAGCUAAGGUCCCAAAGUCAUGGUUAAGUGGGAAACGAUGUGGGAAGGCCCAGACAGCCAGGAUGUUGGCUUAGAAGCAGCCAUCAUUUAAAGAAAGCGUAAUAGCUCACUGGUCGAGUCGGCCUGCGCGGAAGAUGUAACGGGGCUAAACCAUGCACCGAAGCUGCGGCAGCGACACUAUGUGUUGUUGGGUAGGGGAGCGUUCUGUAAGCCUGUGAAGGUGGCCUGUGAGGGUUGCUGGAGGUAUCAGAAGUGCGAAUGCUGACAUAAGUAACGAUAAAGCGGGUGAAAAGCCCGCUCGCCGGAAGACCAAGGGUUCCUGUCCAACGUUAAUCGGGGCAGGGUGAGUCGACCCCUAAGGCGAGGCCGAAAGGCGUAGUCGAUGGGAAACAGGUUAAUAUUCCUGUACUUGGUGUUACUGCGAAGGGGGGACGGAGAAGGCUAUGUUGGCCGGGCGACGGUUGUCCCGGUUUAAGCGUGUAGGCUGGUUUUCCAGGCAAAUCCGGAAAACCAAGGCUGAGGCGUGAUGACGAGGCACUACGGUGCUGAAGCGACAAAUGCCCUGCUUCCAGGAAAAGCCUCUAAGCAUCAGGUAACAUCAAAUCGUACCCCAAACCGACACAGGUGGUCAGGUAGAGAAUACCAAGGCGCUUGAGAGAACUCGGGUG